UACAGGGGGUGCAAACGUUGCUCGGAAUCAUUGGGCGUAAAGCGCACGUAGGCGGUCUGUUAUGUCGGAUGUGAAAGCCCUUGGCUUAACUGAGGAAGUGCAUCCGAAACUGGCAGGCUAGAGUACUAAAGAGGGUCGCGGAAUUCCCGGUGUAGAGGUGAAAUUCGUAGAUAUUCGCAAGAACACCAGUGGCGAAGGCGGCUCACUGGCCCGUAACUGACGCUGAGGCACGAAAGCGUGGGGAGCAAACAGG
rnacentral:rRNA from 1 species